GUGUAAUUUUGUUUACAUAUAAAAAAGUAAUAAUAUAAGAUAUAGGAAAUUAAUUCAACUUUUAAAUAAUAUAAAAUUAAAUUUUAUUAAAAUUUAAAGAAAAAUAAUGAUAUAAAAAAUAAAUUUUCUAAUAAAAUAAACAAAUUAAAGUGAGAUGAAAAAACUGAAUAGAAAGUUUCUUCAGUUAUAUUUUGUAAAAUAUUUAUCACAUACUCUUCGGAAAUAUUCUUAUAUGUUUCUUCAGCUGAAACAGAUAUAAAAAAAAGAUAUUUAAUUAUAUUAAAGAAAAUAUAUUAAAUAAAAUAUUAAUUUAUUCAAAUAUAAUUUAAAUAAAAUGCUAGGAAAGAAAUGUUUUGUUAUAUGCUAAUACAGAUAAAUUCUAUAUUUUUAAAUUAAUAAAAAAACCUGUAUAUAUCUUAUACCUAUAUAUAUCUAUUAUAUCUAUAUAUAUCUUAUAUGUUAACAAUGUUUUUUGUAAAAUAAAUAAUUUUGAUGUUAAAAUAAAUAAUUUUGAUGUUAAAA